CCUACGGGUGGCAGCAGUGAGGAAUAUUGGUCAAUGGACGAGAGUCUGAACCAGCCAAGCAGCGUGAAGGAUGACUGCCCUAUGGGUUGUAAACUUCUUUUAUAUGGGAACAAAACAGGGUAUGCAUACCAUCCUGUAUGUACCAGAUGAAUAAGGAUCGGCUAACUCCGUGCCAGCAGCCGCGGUAAUACGGAGGAGCCGAGCGUUAUCCGGAUUUAUUGGGUUUAAAGGGUGCGUAGGCGGAUGGUUAAGUCAGUUGUGAAAGUUUGGGGCUCAACCGUAAAAUUGCAGUUGAAACUGGCAGGCGUGAGUACAGGAGAGGUGUGCGGAAUACGUGGUGUAGCGGUGAAAUGCUUAGAUAUCACGAAGAACACCGA
rnacentral:rRNA from 1 species